UACGUAGGGGGCAAGCGUUGUCCGGAAUCAUUGGGCGUAAAGCGCGCGUAGGCGGAAUGUUAAGUCAGGGGUGAAAUCCCGGGGCUCAACCCCGGAACUGCCUUUGAUACUGGCAUUCUCGAGUCCGGAAGAGGUGAGUGGAAUUCCGAGUGUAGAGGUGAAAUUCGUAGAUAUUCGGAGGAACACCAGUGGCGAAGGCGGCUCACUGGUCCGGUACUGACGCUGAGGUGCGAAAGCGUGGGGAGCAAACAGG
rnacentral:rRNA from 1 species